rnacentral:rRNA from 1 species
GACGAACGCUGGCGGCGUGCUUAACACAUGCAAGUCGAACGGAAAGGCCCUGCUUUUGUGGGGUGCUCGAGUGGCGAACGGGUGAGUAACACGUGAGUAACCUGCCCUUGACUUUGGGAUAACUUCAGGAAACUGGGGCUAAUACCGGAUAGGAGCUCCUGCUGCAUGGUGGGGGUUGGAAAGUUUCGGCGGUUGGGGAUGGACUCGCGGCUUAUCAGCUUGUUGGUGGGGUAGUGGCUUACCAAGGCUUUGACGGGUAGCCGGCCUGAGAGGGUGGCCGGCCACAAUGGGACUGAGGUACGGCGCAGACGCCUACGGGAGGCAGCAGUGGGGAAUAUUGCACAAUGGGAGGAAGCCUGAUGAAGCAACGCCGCGUGCGGGAUGACGGCCUUCGGGGUGUAAACCGCUGUCGCCUGUGACGAAGCGUGAGUGACGGUAAUGGGUAAAGAAGCACCGGCUAACUACGUG